GUCAGUGGUAGGCUUCCGUAGAUUUGGAGCGUGUUGUGAAGACAGGCAAGGGUUUCCAUGACAACCGUUGAUGCAUGAAUUUUCCUUGUAACUUUACACAAUCAGCAUUUAUGUUCAUAUUAUAAAAAUCACUAAAAUUUAGUGAUAGUUUUGGCCCUGAUUCUUUGGAAAGUUUGGCUUAGGUGACAAAAAUCAUGAUAAAGUUGUAAUGCAUUAACGUCGAUCACGGAUUGCAGGCCCGCCAAGCAGCCGUUUUUUGCCAGCCCUAAAGAAGACGUGCUCGUCCUAACCGAGACAUUUUCCAAUCAUUUUCGGUAGUUUCGCCGUAUUGAACCUGAUUUACAAAACCAGUAUUUGAUGUUCAUCUAGCUACGGUAGCCAGGCUGUGCCAUUACUGGGGGAUUUUUCUUGGGGAGACUGCCUACGCGCUCCGUGUUAUUAAACAGCACAUUCAAAGAAUCUCUAGAUGGGAGUCACUCGUCGCAUCAUUUGAUGUUGAAUUCUACCCUCUGCGCCCCCCUCCUCUCUUUACAUAUAUUUAAUGUCUCUACGCACUUCAAGACUUUUG